GACGAACGCUGGCGGCGUGCUUAACACAUGCAAGUCGAACGGAAAGGCCCUGCUUUUGUGGGGUGCUCGAGUGGCGAACGGGUGAGUAACACGUGAGUAACCUGCCCUUGACUUUGGGAUAACUUCAGGAAACUGGGGCUAAUACCGGAUAGGAGCUCCUGCUGCAUGGUGGGGGUUGGAAAGUUUCGGCGGUUGGGGCUGGACUCGGGGCUUAUCAGCUUGUUGGUGGGGUAGUGGCUUACCAAGGCUUUGACGGGUAGCCGGCCUGAGAGGGGGACCGGCCACAUUGGGACUGAGGUACGGCCCAGACUCCUACGGGAGGCAGCGGUGGGGAAUAUUGCCCAAUGGGCGGAAGCCUGAUGCAGCGGCGCCGCGUGCGGGAUGACGGCCUUCGGGUUGUAAACCGCUUUCGCCUGUGACGAAGCGGGAGUGACGGUAAUGGGUAAAGAAGCACCGGCUAACUACGUG
rnacentral:rRNA from 1 species